rnacentral:rRNA from 1 species
GUGGGGAAUUUUGGACAAUGGGGGAAACCCUGAUCCAGCAAUGCCGCGUGAGUGAAGAAGGCCUUAGGGUUGUAAAACUCUUUCACCCGUGAAGAUGAUGACGGUAGCGGGAGAAGAAGCUCCGGCUAACUCCGUGCCAGCAGCCGCGGUAAUACGGAGGGGGCUAGCGUUGCUCGGAAUUACUGGGCGUAAAGCGCGCGUAGGCGGUGGACCAAGUUAGGCGUGAAAGGCCUGGGCUCAACCCAGGAACUGCGUUUGAUACUGGUUCGCUAGAAUCCGAGAGAGGGUAGUGGAAUUCCCAGUGUAGAGGUGAAAUUCGUAGAUAUUGGGAAGAACACCGGUGGCGAAGGCGGCUACCUGGCUCGGUAUUGACGCUGAAGUGCGAAAGCGUGGGGAGCAAACAGGAUUAGAUACCCGUGUAGUCC